rnacentral:rRNA from 1 species
GAUGAACGCUAGCUACAGGCUUAACACAUGCAAGUCGAGGGACCGGCGCACGGGUGAGUAACACGUAUCCAACCUGCCCUUUACUCGGGGAUAGCCUUUCGAAAGAAAGAUUAAUACCCGAUAUAAAGGAUGGGGAUGCGUUCCAUUAGGUUGUUGGUGAGGUAACGGCCCACCAAGCCUUCGAUGGAUAGGGGUGCUGAGAGGAAGGUCCCCCACAUAGGAACUGAGACACGGUCCAAUCUCCUACGGGGGGCAGCAGUGAUGAAUAGUGGACGAUAGGCGGUAGCCUGAACCAGCCAAGUAGCGUGAAGGAUGAAGGCUUUUGGAUCGUAAACUUCUUUUAUAGAAGAAUAUGUAUUAUAUGAAUAAGGAUCGGCUAACUCCGUGCCAGCCGCCGCGGUAAUAC